CCCACCUUCGUAAAGGAAAACGACAUACUACACUCGGGAAAUAAUUUGAUAUCCCGUAUCACGAUGAGUAAAAGUACCUCGGGCUAAAGCCCUCGCAUACUUCUACUCAUCUGUAUAUGAAAUAUCAGAUUCCUUCCCUUGUAUAGUGAUAUACUAUUUCACACAUAUUUAUGGAUCAGAA